rnacentral:rRNA from 1 species
CCUACGGGAGGCUGCAGUGGGGAAUAUUGCACAAUGGGGGAAACCCUGAUGCAGCGACGCCGCGUGAGUGAAGACGUAUCUCGGUAUGUAAAGCUCUAUCAGCAGGGAAGAAAAUGACGGUACCUGAUUAAGAAGCCCCGGCUAACUACGAGCCAGCAGCCGCGGUAAUACGUAGGGGGCCAGCGUUAUCCGGAUUUAUUGGGUGUAAAGGGCGCGUAGACGGGAUCACAAGGAUGGAGUGAAAUGCCGGGGCUUAACCCCGGAACUGUUUUGGAAACUGGGGAGCUAGAGUGCAGGAGAGGUAAGUGGAAUUCCUAGUGUAGCGGUGAAAUGCGUAGAUAUUAGGCGGAACACCAGUGGCGAAGGCGGCUUACUGGACUGUAACUGACGUUGAGGCUCGAAAGCGUGGGGAGCAAACAGGAUUAGAUACCCUGGUAGUC